UACGUAGGGGGCAAGCGUUGUCCGGAUUUAUUGGGCGUAAAGAGCGUGUAGGCGGUUUGGUAGGUCCGUUGUGAAAACUCGAGGCUCAACCUCGAGACGCCGAUGGAAACCAUCAGACUAGAGUCCGGAAGAGGAGAGUGGAAUUCCUGGUGUAGCGGUGAAAUGCGCAGAUAUCAGGAAGAACACCCGUGGCUAAGGCGGCUCGCUGGGACGUUACUGACGCUGAGACGCGAAAGCGUGGGGAGCAAACAGG
rnacentral:rRNA from 1 species